rnacentral:rRNA from 1 species
CAAUAGCGUAUAUUAAAGUUGUUGCAGUUAAAAAGCUCGUAGUUGGACCUUGGACCUGGACAGGCGGUCCGCCUCACGGCGAGUACUGUCUUGCUGGUCUUUCCUCUUGGUGAUCUGUUGUUUCGGCAGCAGGGAACCAGGACCUUUACUUUGAAAAAAUUAGAGUGUUCAAAGCAGGCUCGACGCCGGAAUAUAUUAGCAUGGAAUAAUAAAAUAGGACGUGCGGUUCUAUUUUGUUGGUUUUUGGAAUCGCCGUAAUGAUUAAUAGGGACAGUCGGGGGCAUUAGUACUCACAUGCUAGAGGUGAAAUUCUUGGAUUUUGUGAAGACUAACUUCUGCGAAAGCAUUUGCCAAGGAUGUUUUCAUUAA